rnacentral:rRNA from 1 species
AAAUGACGGUACCUGACUAAGAAGCACCGGCUAAAUACGUGCCAGCAGCCGCGGUAAUACGUAUGGUGCAAGCGUUAUCCGGAUUUACUGGGUGUAAAGGGAGCGUAGGUGGCAAGGCAAGCCAGAAGUGAAAACCCGGGGCUCAACCGCGGGAUUGCUUUUGGAACUGUCAUGCUAGAGUGCAGGAGGGGUGAGCGGAAUUCCUAGUGUAGCGGUGAAAUGCGUAGAUAUUAGGAGGAACACCGGAGGCGAAGGCGGCUCACUGGACUGUAACUGACACUGAGGCUCGAAAGCGUGGGGAGCAAACAGGAUUAGAUACCCUGGUAGUCCACGCGGUAAACGAUGAAUACUAGAUGUCGGGUAGCAAAGCUACUCGGUGUCGUCGCAAACGCAAUAAGUAUUCCACCUGGGGAGUACGUUCGCAAGAAUGAAACUCAAA